rnacentral:rRNA from 1 species
CCUACGGGAGGCAGCAGUAGGGAAUUUUCCACAAUGGACGAAAGUCUGAUGGAGCAACGCCGCGUGCAGGAUGAAGGCCUUAGGGUUGUAAACUGCUUUUCUAUGUGACGCGGUAGCAUAGGAAUAAGGACCUGCUAACUACGUGCCAGCAGCCGCGGUCAUACGUAGGGUCCAAGCGUUAUCCGGAAUUACUGGGCGUAAAGAGUGCGUAGGUGGCAUGAUAAGUCAGUAGUGAAAUGACGAGGCUCAACCUCGUGUCCAUUACUGAAACUGUCAAGCUAGAGAAUGAGAGAGGUCACUGGAAUUCCCUGUGUAGGAGUGAAAUCCGUAGAUAUAGGGAGGAACACCGAUGGCGUAGGCAGGUGACUGGCUCAUUCUGACACUAAGGCACGAAAGCGUGGGUAGCAAACGGGAUUAGAUACCCUUGUAGUC